rnacentral:rRNA from 1 species
GAUGAACGCUAGCGGCAGGCUUAAUACAUGCAAGUCGAGGGGCAGCAGGACUGUAGCAAUACAGUUGCUGGCGACCGGCAAACGGGUGCGGAACACGUACGCAACCUUCCUUUAAGUGAGGGAUAGCCCAGGGAAACUUGGAUUAAUACCUCGUAAUAUUUGAGAGUGGCAUCACUUUCUAUUAUAGUUCCGGCGCUUAAAGAUGGGCGUGCGACUGAUUAGGUAGUUGGCGGGGUAACGGCCCACCAAGCCUGCGAUCAGUAACUGGUGUGAGGGCACGAACAGUCACACGGGCACGGAGACACGGGCCCGACUCAUACGGGAGGCAGCAGUAAGGAAUAUUGGUCAAUGGACGCAAGGCUGAACCAGACAUGCCGCGUGGAGGAUGAAGGUCCUCUGGAUUGUAAACUUCUUUUAUCUGGGAAGAAACCCAUAUUUUCUAGGGUGGUUGACGGUACCAGAUGAAUAAGCACCGGCUAACUCCGUGCCAGCAGCCGCGGUAACAC